GUCCUUUUGAUAUUUAUUUAAGGUCUGACCUGCCCUAUGAUUAUUUAAAUGGCCGCGGUACUCUGACCGUGCAAAGGUAGCAUAAUCAUUUGUCUUUUAAUUGAAGGCUUGUAUGAAUGGUUGGACGAGAAAUAAUCUUUCUUUAUUUAAUUUAUAUAAAUUUAAUUUUUGAGUCAAAAAGCUCAAAUUUUUUUAUAGGACGAGAAGACCCUAUAGAACUUUAUUUUUUGUUGUUUAUAUUCUUUUUGGUUUAUAAUAUUAGUAUAAAUUAUAAUAAAUUUUGUUGGGGUGACGUAGAAAUUUCUUUAACUUUCUAAUAUUUUUUUCAUAAAUUAAUGAAUUUUUGAUCCAUUAUUAUUGAUUAAUAGUUCAAGUUACCUUAGGGAUAACAGCGUAAUUUUAUUGGAGAGUUCUUAUCGAUAAUAGAGUUUGCGA
rnacentral:rRNA from 1 species